AGACUUUUGCAGUGGUCGAGUUUGCAGAUGAUAAUUCUGUAGAAAUUAUCCCAACCACUUGGUUGGAGGAAACGAUCAAAGGAAUAUUCUGUUACUGGACCUACAUGAACUCAAGGCAGUUGGUAAAAAACAAUGCGAUCCCUGACAAGCAAAAGUGGAGGCGGUUCUUGCUGAAAAAAAUUUGGUUAAGAACAGACUCUUAUGCCAAAGCCUCCCAGAAAUGCCAGCUUGUUACCGAAACGUCACAUAUUGAAACAG